rnacentral:lncRNA from 1 species
CUCUUCUUCAGUUAACUUCAGUAGCUAUCUGGAAGCUCAAUAUAAACUUCUCUCUUUGGUCUUAGCUCCUAACAUAUCACUACAAUUCAUGCAGUUCAUCAUUCAAGACCAGCAAUUUUUAAUGUUCUUCAACCUGGGGUACCUUUUGUCCCAUGCCAAGAAUGUGCUCCCAAACUCACCUCAGUCACAAAGAAUUCCCCUUUGCCUUCAAAAUCAAGAAUCACCUUCUCCAGGAGAUAUUUCCUGAUCCCUUCAGUUAUUGCCAAGAAAGAAAGGAAGAAAGGAAGGAAGGAAGAAGAAAGGAAGGAAGGAAGAAGAAAGGAAGGAAGAAGAAAGAAAGAAAGAAAGAAAGAAAGAAAGAAAGAAAGAAAGAAAGAAAGAAAGAAAGAAAGAAAGAAAGAAAGAAAGAAAGAAAGAAAGAAAGAAAGAAAGAAAGAAAGAAAGAAAGAAAGAAAGAAAGAAAGAAAGAAAGAAAGAAAGAAAGAAAGAAAGAAAGGAAAAAGAAAGGAAAAAGAAAGGAAAUAGAUGAAAAACUUCUUUGCAUAACAAACUAUGCAGUUCUCUUUGUAUUUGUUUCUUGGGCAUCAGGGAAUAUGCUGAAGAAUCAUAGGAACUAAUUUUCAUAUUGGAUUGAAGCCUCCCUCUGACGGGGGUUUUGGAUGUAAUGAAAGGCAGCAGGCAAUUUAAGUGACCACUGGGAACAUGGACCAUUAAUUUGCAAAUUAGUGAAGGACCUUACAUACCACACUGAGGAGUUUUAACGUUGUGUAAGAGGCAAUUGAGGAUCACAGCAGUCUUCUGAGAAUGAGUGACGGCAUCACUAUAUAGUAAAAGUUUUUGACCUAUGCUUAAGGACAUAUUAAAAAGCAAUUUGUUGGCCAGAAAUUCUGAUUGUUUCUACCUUUCAUAGAAUAGACAUACAAUGUGAGAGCUAUCAAAAUACCGUUUAGUUCAAUGCCCCAAUUCUACAGAAGAGGAAACAGAGGCUCAUAGAUAUCACAUGACUUGCCCAAGGCUACA